UCCAUCUCUCCACGGUGAAGAUAAAUUAAAAGAAUUCAUCUAGUGCUGCCAUAUAUCAUCUUAAUUGGUUGGUCAGCCUUAAGCAAGCAAGCAGACAGGAGAGGUUGGAGUCACCAGCUCCUGUACUGGCAUUGACGACCCAUGCUGAGAGGAGUUUAUUUGCAGUCCCAAAUAUGUUCUGGGCUGAUGCAUAAGAGUGGACUAGGCACACUGGAAUCCAGAAGAAAGAUCUACAGAUCGGAUGGGAAAUCGCUGCCAUGGAUGAGCCUCCCUCAGAACUGAGCCUGAUCCAAGCCCCACUGAAGUCCGUAGAAAUGAGUGGACUUUCCUUUACAUCACUGAGUUUUGAACUGGUUCCUUCUUCCCUCACUGGUACUGUCAGUAGUCCACAAUGGGUCUUGCAG